rnacentral:rRNA from 1 species
AGAACGAACGCUGGCGGCAGGCUUAACACAUGCAAGUCGAACGCUCGUAGCAAUACGGGAGUGGCAGACGGGUGAGUAACGCGUGGGAACAUACCCUCCGGUUCGGAAUAGCUCAGGGAAACUUGGAUUAAUACCGGAUACGGCUGAGAGGCGAAAGAUUUAUCGCCGGAGGAUUGGCCCGCGUUCGAUUAGCUUGUUGGUGAGGUAACGGCUCACCAAGGCGAUGAUCGAUAGCUGGUCUGAGAGGAUGAUCAGCCACAUUGGGACUGAGACACGGCCCAAACUCCUACGGGAGGCAGCAGUGGGAAUAUUGGACAAUGAGCGCAAGCCUGAUCCAGCCAUGCCGCGUGAGUGAUGACGGCCUUAGGGUUGUAAAGCUCUUUCGCUCGGGACGAUAAUGACGGUACCGAGAUAAGAAGCCCCGGCUAACUUCGUGCCAGCAGCCGC